AACGAACGCUGGCGGCGUGCCUAACACAUGCAAGUCGUGCGGGAAAGCGGGGGCGAACUCCGCAAGUACAGCGGCGCACGGGUGAGUAACACGUAGGUAACCUACCUCAGAGCCUGGGAGUAACCUGUCGAAAGACGGGCUAAUACCGGAUAAGACCACGAGGGCUGCGGUCCUUGGGGCGAAAUGGUGGCCUCUACUUGUAAGCUACCACUCAGAGAUGGGCCUGCGCGCCA
rnacentral:rRNA from 1 species